ACUCCUACGGGAGGCAGCAGUGAGGAAUAUUGCACAAUGGAGGAAACUCUGAUGCAGCAACGCCGCGUGGAGGAUGACGCAUUUCGGUGUGUAAACUCCUUUUAUAGGUCAAGAAAAUGACGGUAGCCUAUGAAUAAGCACCGGCUAACUCCGUGCCAGCAGCCGCGGUAAUACGGAGGGUGCAAGCGUUAUUCGGAAUCACUGGGCGUAAAGGACACGUAGGCGGGAAGCCAAGUCUGAUGUGAAAUCCUACAGCUUAACUGUAGAACUGCAUUGGAAACUGGUUACCUAGAGUAUGGGAGGGGGAGAUGGAAUUAGUGGUGUAGGGGUAAAAUCCGUAGAUAUCACUAGGAAUACCUAAAGCGAAGGCGAUCUCCUGGAACAUUACUGACGCUAAGGUGUGAAAGCGUGGGGAGCAAACGGGAUUAGAUACCCCGGUAGUCCACGCCCUAAACGAUGUUCACUAGUCGUCGGGAUGCUAGUCAUCUCGGUGAUGCACUUAACAGAUUAAGUGAACCGCCUGGGGAGUACGGUCGCAAGAUUAAAACUCAAAGGAAUAGACGGGGACCCGCACAAGUGGUGGAGCAUGUGGUUUAAUUCGAAGAUACGCGAAGAACCUUACCUAGCCUUGACAUUGAAGAAACACACUAGAGAUAGAGUGGUGCCCUUCGGGGAAUCUGAAAACAGGUGCUGCACGGCUGUCGUCAGCUCGUGUCGUGAGAUGUUGGGUUAAGUCCCGCAACGAGCGCAACCCUCGUCCUUAGUUGCCAGCAGGUUAAGCUGGGCACUUUAAGGAGACUGCCUUCGCAAGAAGGAGGAAGGUGAGGACGACGUCAAGUCAUCAUGGCCCUUAUGGCUAGGGCUACACACGUGCUACAAUGGGGCGUACAGAGAGUUGC
rnacentral:rRNA from 1 species